GUGCUCACUUUGGCAGCACAAAUAGAAAGUUGGAAUGAUACAGAGAUUACCAUGGCUCUUGCACAAGGAUG
rnacentral:snRNA from 1 species